UCCUUUCCUCAUCAGAAACUUCAAGCUAGUAGACUACUUGAAAAUACAUUUUUUUGGUAACAAAACCAAUUUCCACCCUUUGUUCCUGAUUCAGUCAUUGUCCCAAAGGCACCUAAGAGUAUUUACUGGUAGUUUUAUAAAUUAUUGACUUUCUCUAGCAAAUUCUUUUGUGCGUGUCCCUAUAAAGUAGUCACAGCACCUGCUAUAUUAAAUUGCUUGAUUGCAGGUCCCUUGCUGAGUGAAGCAAUCCCCCGCAAAGUUUGCUAUAGUUCAUGCUCAUAACAAGGCGACGCGCACUCCCGCCCACCCUUUGGGUUGAAAUGUGCUGCAGCUGGAAAAAGAGGACUUCACUGCUGACUACUGCUACUGCCAAAACUUUGGAAGACAUGGUCCAGUCCAGUGAACUGAAGAUCUUCCAGGAUGUGGUUGUUUCACGCCACUUUUGCUGCACUACAGUGGAAGAGUGCCCCUCCAGGUAGCAGUCAUGCUGGGGAAGCAGCACAGAACAUCUGACAAAGCAGACUGGGGUAUGGAUGGAAGUGGACGGUGAUCCAGAGAAAGACUUGGAACUAAGGAACUGGAAUACACUAUUUCUUGGCUGUU